AGAAAACUUUAACCGCCAACUGUUGUUAAUCAAGCUGCUGUGGAAGCAAAUUCUUCAAGCAUCAAUUAAAUCGAGAUACCAGCGUCUUGUCAAGAAAAAAAAGAAGACCACAUGGCUUUGGAUCAAGACAAUGGGACCAUUUGAGUGACCCAAAGGCGGUGGAAGCUUGACCAAUUCUGCUGUGGACUUCUGAGGUUGAUGCACAACUAUUUUUCCUGCACAAGCAAGACAAGCAUGUGGAUUCCUCAAGUCUCCUGGGAAAGUGGAUGUGCAGGACGUCACAAGGCCGCUGGUUUGCAUGCAGCACUUAAAUUUGCUCCUGGAAAGAGGGUCAUGGCCACAAUGUCGUACGUCUCCCUGAGGCACAGGCUUUCUAUUCUGAAGACGUCCCUCCUUCACUGACAGCUAUCGGUUGGUAAAUCCCUCUGACCAAACCGUCAGAUUCAAGGACAAGACAGAUAGCUGUUAAAAAGAAGAACAGAUAGGCAGAAAGAAAGAGGAGGCUCAGGUCAGUCAUUAAAUCCCUUUGCUCAGUGGCCUCUGCCCCUCACUUCACUCCCUGAAGGCAAUCUUAUCCCACCGGUCAAUCGAAAGUCUUUUACAGCCUCAAAUCUAUUCCCCCGAUCCGUGCUGGUUUUAAGAUUACCAAACGGUAUUAUCACUUCAUCUUCAGAGCAAUCAUUGUCUCUUUCUACCUGUAUUGUUGUGAAGGAGAUAGCUACCAUUUAUGUCUAUAUCUCUGAGUCAUGGCUAGUCACUUCUUGAGCAUUAACAUUCAGCUCUGUUCCAUGGCCCGGCUGUGUCUUUGUGUCAAGAAUCCUAAUUUCAUGGCACGGAUCAUAGUGAUUAGGAGUCAUAUCGAAGCUGAAUAAAAUCAAGAGAACCUGAGAUUGCAGUCUGGACGACUGUCAUCUAAGCGGCCUGUUCAGCAUAAUCAGCACAGAUGGAUAAUUAAGUUCAAAUGCUGUGAAAAGCAGAAUUCAGGCAUGUUCGAAUUUUGGUACCUGUGGGAGAGUUUGAUUGGCAGUCUUUGACAAAGGUGGCUGCAUAUUUUUAAACUUUAAACAAUGUUCAUAUGUCUAUGUGGUGUUUUUAAUAUGCUUUAAGACAAACCAUGUGCAAAUUCAUAUGUCAACAUCAUUGCUGAAUAUUUUCUCCUUAAAACUGCAGUGGAAAAAAAAAAAAACACGUUUUGAGAUCACUGGUGUCUGUGACAUC